AAAAAGAUAAGCUAAAUACUAAGCUAACGGGUUCAUACCCCGCUCAUGAAACAAAUUCUCUUUUUA
rnacentral:tRNA from 1 species